UACGUAGGGUGCAAGCGUUGUCCGGAAUUAUUGGGCGUAAAGAGCGCGUAGGCGGAAGGUUAAGCGUGGCCUGAAAGCCCCCGGCUCAACCGGGGAGGGCGGCUGCGAACUGGCCUUCUUGAGGGCGAUAGAGGGGGGCGGAAUUCCUGGUGUAGCGGUGAAAUGCGUAGAGAUCAGGAGGAACACCCGUGGCGAAGGCGGCCCCCUGGGUCGGCACUGACGCUGAGGCGCGAAAGCGUGGGGAGCGAACGGG
rnacentral:rRNA from 1 species